rnacentral:lncRNA from 9 species
CCACUGCCUCUCCCAGGGGCCCUGCCUGGCCUGCCAGCUGGCCGGCCCUCCGCUAUGGCCCGAUGCGCCCCGGGCUCCUGCUCCUUUCUGGGCACCUUGAGGAAAUGUCCCCAUGAGCACAAGCACUUGGUCGCCCUCCAGCGUGUCUGCAUCCCAGAGCCUCAGGGCCAGCAGGGUCUCCAGCUUCUCCAUGUCCGAUGCUGCAAGAAAACGUCCAAAUAUUCCAGCGCCCGAAAGAGCUGCAGAAAACAAUCUGGUUGAAGUGGGCUCCCUGUUGGUAGCUCUCCCGUCUGCCUGAUUGGAGGGGAGAAAACAAGGCCGCCUGGCUGGGUGACAUCCCAUAUGUCCUAACACCUCCAAUACAGACCCCUCCCAGCAGCCUGGGAGAUCCUGUCACAACGAGAUGAGGAGGAACAAGAAGGGGACACGGAGGCCCAGGCCAAUGGCCAUCCUGCAGAGCCAGGGUGCACACUCCUGGCCCAGGGCACUGAGGGAAGGGCAGCUGCCAGCUGGGGAGGGCCCCAACAGGCUCAUGGGACUCACAUUUUGCUUAGGCAUCGAAAGCACAGCCAACAAAAGAUAAACGUUGAUAAAUUGGACCUGAUGAAAAUUAACAUGGCUGGGCCUCAAGUGAAUGACAACCCACAAAAUGAAUAAAAAAGUUACAAUGACCUGAGGGAUAAGGGCCUAGGGUACAGAAUACGACCAAACUCCUAAGUGCACAACAGACGGGCCCAGUAGAAAAUGGGCGGUGAACUUGGAUAGACAUGGCUCCAAAGUCAACCCAACUUUAGAGAACAAGACCAAGGGGCUCAGGAGAGGAGGCUCAACAUUAGCAUGGGGGGUGGGGGGGGAUGCAAAUUGAAGCCCCCAGGAGACCGAACUUCUCACCCACCGGAGUGGCUGUUACUUAUCAAAUGAGGACAUGGAGAAACUGGAACCUUCUUGCAUGACUGGCAGGAUUGUAAAAUGGUGCAGCUGCUGCGGAAAACCAGUCUUUUCUCAAAAAGUUAAAUGAAGAGUUGCCACAGGACCCAACCGUUCCACUCCCAGGUAUGCACGCAAGAGAGAGGAAGACUGGGACGCAGACAUCUGUACAGGCGCGUUCAUAGCAGAACUACUCCCAAGAGCCAAAGGGCGGGCCCCACCUAAGUGACCCCGGACACGUGGCCAGAGGACCCGAAUUCCACCAGAGGAGGAGCGGCACACGGCCACAUGCUGCACCAUGGACGGACAUGACACCCAGGAAGGAAAGCAGACCCAGAAGACCACCUGUCGUGAGGUUCCGUGGAUGUGCAGCGUGCAGCAGGGCCAGGCCCAGAGAGACAGAAAGAGGCUGGUGCUCUCUGGGGUUGGGUGAGGGGUUUGGGGGGCGAGUGGGAGUAUCUGCUGAUAAGAGAUUGUUUUGACGAGGUGGUGGAAGGUGGAAGCAGUGAUGACGGUGGCGUGGCUCUGCCAAUACACUAAAAGCCACUGGAAGGUCUACUCUCGCAGGUGCAUUUGAUCCCAAUUCGACCGGCUCUGGGCUGGCCCGGACGCCCCUGGCUUCCCCUCCACCCCCUCCUCAUCUCACGUUCUUGGUCUUCCAUCCAUCCAUCUCCUCCGGCUCAGUCCUGUCCCCUGCCCUCCUCCAUCUACUCCUCUUCCUCCUCCUGCUCCCCUCCUCUUUCGAAUCUUCUCCUCCUCCCCUCCUCUCAUCUUUCCUCUUCUUCCUCUCACUUCCUGUCCCUGCACUGUAGGUAAAACAGUGGCCUUUGGGAGUUCCUUCUGCGGCAUAGAGGAUUAAGGAUCUGGUGUUAUCUCUGCAGCAGCACGGGUUCAAUCCCUGGCCUGGUGCAGUGAUUUAAGGAUCCAGCGUUGCUGAAGCUGUGGCAAAGGUUGCCGCUGUGGCUCAGAUUCUCUUCCUGGCAGGGGAACGUCCAUAGGCUUCCGUCUGUUCCUUUCCUUUUGCUCAACCUGGGGAGAGAGACAACAAGUUAAAUAUGAUUAAAAAGAUAAAAUAACUGCAAAAUGUGAUCAUUGCUGUGCAGGAAAUAAACAGAAUAUCGUGGCCAUAAUUGGAAUGGAGUGUGAUCAGGG